GCCUGGGUGGCUCAAUCGGUUAAGCAUCUGACUUCAGCUCAGGUCAUGAUCUCAUGGUUUGUGGGUUCGAGCCCCACGUCGGCCU
rnacentral:tRNA from 1 species